GACGAACGCUGGCGGCGUGCUUAACACAUGCAAGUCGAACGGAAAGGCCCUGCUUGCAGGGUGCUCGAGUGGCGAACGGGUGAGUAACACGUGGGUGAUCUGCCCCUUACUUUGGGAUAAGCCUGGGAAACUGGGUCUAAUACUGGAGAGGACCAUGCUGUAGGUGGUGUGGUGGAAAGAUUAGUUUCGGUAAGGGAUGAGCUCGCGGCCUAUCAGCUUGUUGGUGGGGUAAUGGCCUACCAAGGCGUCGACGGGUAGCCGGCCUGAGAGGGUGGACGGCCACAUUGGGACUGAGAUACGGCCCAGACUCCUACGGGAGGCAGCAGUGGGGAAUAUUGCACAAUGGGCGCAAGCCUGAUGCAGCGACGCCGCGUGGGGGAUGACGGCCUUCGGGUUGUAAACUCCUUUCAGCCAUGACGAAGCCCUUGUGGUGACGGUAGUGGUAGAAGAAGCACCGGCUAACUACGUG
rnacentral:rRNA from 1 species